rnacentral:lncRNA from 1 species
GGGUACCAAAGUCCACUCUGAGCUUUUCCUCUGGGAACAGAUCCCAGAUUAUUCCAGACUUAAGACAUGGAGAUAUAUCUUGCUAGAGCCCCCAGUAUAUAUUCAGUGUGUCCUCUGAAGUAACAACCAUCCCAUCUGGCUGAGAAGUGAUGGACACGGCUCCUUAACCACACUGUACCCUCUGUUCUUGGCACCUCUCUACCAGAAAGAUAUCAACAAAUUGGAUGGAAUUCAGAGAACAGUAAGAAAAAUGAUUAAAGAGAUGGAGGCAGUGACUUAUGAGGAAAGAUGAAAAGGACUAAAUCUAUGUAGCUUGGCAAAGCAACAACUGAGUGACUUCCUAUUAUCCUUCUCAAAGUUAUUGCUGCAGAGGAAAGAAGCAUACAUCUUUUACCCACCAGGAAACCCCCAAAGCAUCUAUUACCAUAAUAGCCAUGGGAAACAGAAGGCACCUCAAAUAAAGGUGGGGAAAAGAAUGAAAGAAAUGGCUUUGGCCUGUGCCUGUUUGACCUCUGAGAGAUACUUUUUGCAAGAAAUUGUUAAGUUUUGGCCCAAAAAGUGGUCGGUCUUUUAUCCUUCCUUGUGGAGGCCAAACUGCAAACCAGGAUGAAGAAACCAUCAGUGGCAGUUUGGGGAGGUGGAGGAGGGACUAUCUAGACUCAGUGAAUCACCAAGGAAACAUGAGGCCUAUUUCUCUGUGAAGCUGAACUUCAAAAAACAAUCUAAGAGAUACAAAGGGAAAAGUGUGACUGCUCUGACAGCAAAAACAAGCAAAUAUCUCCAGAGGGGAUUAAUCCUUCUGCUUCAAAGUAACUAAAACAAAGAAAGCUGAGCCAGCUUCACUGGAAACAACACCUGUCCAUCAGACAAGGAUGAGCUAAUCAAAAGAAAACACUGCCUAUGUGCACGACUCAGCAGCCUGGACAGCUAAUACCAAGGAACACGUUUUCACUAUAAAGAUUCAGCUUUCAAAAUCCAGUUCCCUCUUGUAGAGCCACAGGGUUAAAAGGGACCUUAGAGAUCAUCUACAUACAGGCCAAACCCUCAAUGAAUGCCAGUGUUCGCCUUAUGUUCUUCUUGCCGGACUCUUUUCUGGCCUCUGUUCUGUCAGGAUGUUUCCUGUUUUGCAAAACAGCUUUAAUCCUUGAGUAUAUUUAAUUGUUAGAAAACAGUUCCUCAAAUUUGACCCCAAAUUUAAGUCUAAUUUAUGAAGAAAGUUUUGCCUUUGGAGACAGGUUUAAUUUUACUUCCAUGUGGAAAACCUUCAAAUAAAAUGAUGACUAUUGUGUACUCACGA